rnacentral:rRNA from 1 species
UACGUAGGGGGCAAGCGUUGUCCGGAUUUAUUGGGCGUAAAGAGCGUGUAGGCGGCCAGGUAGGUCCGCUGUGAAAACUCGAGGCUUAACCUCGAGAUGUCGGUGGAAACCAUCUGGCUAGAGUCCGGAAGAGGAGAGUGGAAUUCCUGGUGUAGCGGUGAAAUGCGCAGAUAUCAGGAAGAACACCCGUGGCGAAGGCGGCUCUCUGGGACGGUACUGACGCUGAGACGCGAAAGCGUGGGAGCAACAGG